AACUGGGAUUAGAUACCCCACUAUUCCUAGAUAUAAAUAGGUCACAAUUCCUACCAGAGUACUACGAACCAUUAGUUUAAAACUCAAAGAACUUGGCGGUGCCUAAGACCCCUCAGGGGAACCUGUUUCAUAAUCGACAAUCCACGCUAAACCUUACCUUCUUUUGAUAAAUCAGUAUGUAUACCGUCGUCGUCAGGUAACUUUUUAGAAUAUAGAAGUUAGCAAAAGAGAAUAUCACCUCUUACGUCAGAUCAAGGUGCAGCUAAUAAGAAGGAGAGAAUGGGUUACAAUUAUUACUUAUAAUACGGAAAACUAAAUGAAAUUUUUCUAUGAAGGAGGACUGAAAGUAAUAUUAAAAACUAUAUAAAUAU
rnacentral:rRNA from 1 species